AGAUAAUUAAUACAUAGAUUUGCAACUUAUGAAAAUAAUCGGCAACAAAACAGUAGCGCCUAUCAAAGAAUGGUGGUCGACGGGUGAACUAUUCAUUUCCUCCUCCCUGCGCAUUUGUAGCCUGUAAUUUAAGGUAUCCAAGCAACCUUCAAAACAAGGUUUGAAAUUUGUUAUCAUUUAACUCAAACAAGCUGUCAAUUCGCGUUUGUUCGAUUUGAAAUCGAAAAUAAUAUUUCUGAGUACGGCCAAAGUACGGUUUCCGGACCAAACAAUUUAUUGCAGUUCUGGGGAUAACCAGCUCACGCGAUGUGAGAAGUGGGAGAAGACAUGUGACGUGGUCGGCAGUUGAGAAGAUGCUUAUGUUGGCCGCAAACAUUUCGAGACGCAGAUUUCUGAAAAUUGCGUUAAAAGAAUCAAGGGCUGAGACCAAUUGAAUCUCGUCUGAGUGAUACUCAUUUCCAGACUCCAUACACUUCAAGUUCCAUGGAAAUUCAUAAGAAAAUGAUUUCAAAUCUCUUAACGGACGUGGCGGGAGAAUUUGAGAUCGAUCACAGAUCUGUGGAUCGAUGGUACGCGAGAUUCUGCUUCAAAUAUACUUUUGGCGACAAGAUUGUACGACGACCCCAUUAAUUCUUUUUACCAUCUCUUAUUUAUGAAAUUCGUUUAUUAAAUGUGAGAAAUGUAAUCACACUGUACAUUUGUUCUACAUCAACAGUGCCCCUAUGUCUACCAUCUGGAUCAAAACUACUCCUGGGGGUCGUGACCAACUGUGACCAACAGUUCGGAAAAAGAUAAUCCAAACUAAUGACGGGGGAUGGUACUUGCUGAUGCGAGACCUACCAAAACAAAAUUCACCAUUUAAAGUUGAGCAUGUUUACC